CAUUAACGGAAUAAUUCUCCGUCAUCGCAGUUCAAAAGCGAAUUUUUUCAGUCGUUUACAAACUCACGAAGGAGCAUCGCCUACUGUUCAUCAUCGGCGAAGAUCAAAAGGCGACUCCGAUGGUCGACGUUCAGCGAAAUUCAGAAAGUGACAAAUUCGGUAACGGUAUGGUUUUAGUUGCGUUAAAAUUUCGAGGAAGAGGCUCUGAGAGUGAAGAAAGAGAUAUUAUUGUUUUAAGCAAUCCUCAAAGUUCUAAUCACACCUAAAAAUUGAAAAAG